CGAGCGCCGCGCCGUGCCCCCGCUGCCACCCCGACGGGACAACGACGGGUGCCCCAUCAGUCGAUGCCACGCGGCAGCAGCGCAGCAGCACCUCCAGGACCCCGGAGCGCUGCCCGACGUGCCGGGCAUCACGCGGUGACACGGACAGAGCCGGGCACGCCCAGCGCAGCAAAUCGGACGGCAAAUCCCCGCCGGAGCCCCGCAGCCGCCCCCAGGCCGUGCAGCCGGAGCAGCCCGCAGGGUGUUGGUACCUGGCGGGGGGGCCUCCCGUCGCCUACCUCGCCC